GCCCCUAUAGCUCAGUGGUAGAGUGUCAAUUUCGUAAACUGAAGGUCUGUAGUUUGAUCUUGCAUGGGGGUA
rnacentral:tRNA from 1 species